AAGGCAAACCCAGUAUUCUUUAAAAUCAGAAUGCCAGCUUGGAUUGGUUGCAGUAACAGCUGAAUUUGCUCAUCCUGGUUUGCUUGUAGAAUGUGAAUGCAAGAACCUGCCAAGAAAACCAAUGGCCAAGGAGAACAUCUGGAAAGCGAGAAGGAAGCAAAGCAGCCCCCUGACUCCUCCCUGAGCCCCAGACAGCCCAUGAACUGCCUUGCUGGGAAUGGAACUCCAGGAACUCCUGGUGCCGCCUGGGCCGAUGGAUUGGACGCCCCAGCCCCUCCGUUCCUGCCCAGCCACUGGGUCCGUGUCCAGUGGUGGCACUGCCAGCCCUGCAGUGGGAUGUAACCUGGAAAGUGCACGGAGCUGAGCCAAGGGAUUGAAAGGGACCAACCAAGGGAGCUGAAGAAAGAAGGAAGAAGUGAAGUGAGGCAGCAGGCAAGCAGCACCAAGUUGCUGUGUAAGCAGAGGGAUAAUAACUCCUGUCAGCAGCAAGGUCCCGACUGAAGUGGCAGCUGCAGUUGUUCCUGUGGUGUGGGCCAGUGGAACUCCAGGAGAGUGGAAGAGGGCAGAACCUGUAGGUAUUAUCCCUAAUGUGGGAUCUCUCCUGGUAAGGGAAACCCAGUACCCUUUAAAAUCAGAAUGCCAGCUUGGAUUGGUUGCAGUAACAGCUGAAUUGGCUCAUCCUGGUUUGCUUGUAGGACAUAAAUGCAAGAACCUGCCAAGAAAACCAUGGCCAAGAUGAUUGAUGAGUGCAGGACCUGAGAGAAGCACCUUGAAUGACAGCCUCGAGCAGUUUCCAGUAUUGGAUUUAAAAGAUGGCCUUUGCUGCAUCUGCUUGAGCAAGGAAAGCCAAGAAACCUUUGCUUUGGAAGGAAAAAAUCUGGAAAGCAGGAAGGAAGAAAAGCAGCCCCCAGACUCCUCCCUGAGCCCCAGACAGCCCAUGAACUGCCUUGCUGGGAAUGGUAGGAUGGGGUGGACUCUGGAUUGCUCCCUCUGGAUGUGUGGCUCUCCCCUCAGGAAUUCCAGGAACUCCUGGUGCCGCCUGGGCCGAUGGAUUGGACGCCCCAGCCCCUCCGUUCCUGCCCAGCCCCUGGGUCCGUGUCCAGUGGUGGGACUGCCAGCCCUGCAGUGGGAUGUAACCUGGAAAGUGCACAGAGCUGAGCCAAGGGAUUGAAAGGGACCAACCAAAGGAGGUGAAGAAAGAAGGAAGAAGGGAAGUGAGGCAGCAGGCAAGCAGCACCAAGUUGCAGUGUAAGCAGGUGAGUUGUGUUGAGGUUCCUCAGGCAGGCACUGAGGACUUUGAGGGCUCCAGACAGAGCAGACCUGGGAAGGCCCUCGGUGAAGCCCCUUGGAAACCUUGUAAUGGUAGGUGUGUAUGGUAAUAAGUGUUGGGGAAUGCCCUGAAUAUGGAAUAGGAAUGCAGGGAAGGAAAAGGAACCCUCCUGUAAUGUUGCCAUAUCAGCUGCAGUGGAGAUAGGUCUGUGUGCCCUUUGGGAGCUGAUUGCCAGGACACCCGUCGGGCUGGGGUCAUGGCAGGGUGCUGUAAGCAAGGAAUGCCUGGUUUCUAAAACUCACCAGUUGACUCCUAGAGGCUUCUUUGAAGAGCUGAGUUGAGGCAGCAGAAUUGGCCCCCCAGGAGGGACUCUGUGCCUGCUCUCCCGUGGCUCCAAGGGAUCUCUGGCCCUUCACGCCGGCACCGAGAUUUUCUCGGGAAGGGCCUCAGAUCCCCGGACCAGUCUGGGACACAGUCAAGAUCCCCCUGCCUUUAGAAAUGAGGCCUUCUUGUGGCUUCCUGCCCGUACCCGUUGGUGGGUUCCAAAGAAGGCCUCUUGAAAUGCCUUUUGGGCUGUCCAUUGAAGCCUUGGGACCAAAUUGUGCCCCCUGGAGGGACAGUGCUGUUGGUGCCCCCCGGGUUGGGGCACCCCGAGGACUCCAGCGCGCACCGAAAGGAUUAUUCGGGGAGAUCCUCGGGGUGCCCGGCCCUGGGGAGCUCAAAGCAAGGUCCCUGCAAUGGAUUCAGGCAUUCCUGAGAGUAUCCCAGUACAACUUCCUCAAUCCUUAACACAAGAGAAGAAGAAUUAAGGACUGGCAGUGUUAAGGUGAUUGGUGUGACAGGGGUUAAACUGGGACAAACAAACUGGGUAAUUCCUCAGUUGGUCUAUUUGCCAGACUCACCCAAACCUGUUCUAGGAAGAGAUGGACUGCAGUCUCUGAUCUCCUGGGUAGUUCUACUGCAUGGUCUGGGAGCCUCUGGGAUUAGACUGGACUAUGCAGAGAGGGAGCAGUUUGUCCUGUGGAGUUGGGAUGUGUUAGUUCAGGAUGCCUUGGGAGGCAGGGCUGGAGAGGCCCCUCUGUUGGCUGUAGUGGUGGAAGGUUGUAGCAGCAGGGAUGGAGCCUUCGACCUCCUGCUCCCCCCGUGAGCCCCGACGGGACCGUGCCCUUGGCAAUGGAGGGCCCCCCAUUGCUGAGUCAGCAGUUCCGGGGCCAGGAGGGAUGGGAUCAGGAUGCCGAGCUCCGCCCAGGGCCAGGGCUGCCAAUGUUCAACCAUGGAGAGAACUGAAAGCAGAGUGAGAUGGAGGCCAAGCUGCAGCACAAGGAUGGGUGAGAAAAGACCUUGGUCCUCAGGUGGAGCUUUGAAUUCCCUGGAAAAAUGGAUCCUGUCAGAUGGUUCAGGCCCUUGUGGGUGCUGGAGCAGAGGCCUCUGUAAUUUAUGGUCACCCUAAAAAGUUGCAAGGAGAGCAAGUUCUGACUGCAGGAUGAGGUGGGAAACCAAGUGAAGUGGUCCAGAGAAAAGCUGAGCUUAAAAUUGGUCCUGUGCCAGAGCAGCCUCGUGCAGUGCUUGUUGCUGUCCCUGAGUGUCCCAUUGCAGUGGAUAUUCCCAAGGGUGCCUUGUGCUGGGGAACCCUGGGGGCAGUUCCCUUUCCCUGGGCAGGGCAGGCAGGGCACGUUUCCCCCCUCGAGGGUGGCUCCACAGUCCCACCCUGUGCCCUGGGAGCGUGGCAGAACACCUGGACCCACUGUCCUUGUCAGAGAGGGCACAAGGGAUGGUUGGAUGGGUGAGGGAAUGGUUCAGGGAGUACAAGCACCAUUAGAGUCAGUAGGGCAGUACAUGGAAAGGAAGGGGGGAGUUAAUCCAGACAAAAUUCAAGCACCUGCCCAACCUGUGAUAUUUUUAGGAACUCAGAGGUGUUGUGGUCCCCAGGAAGUAUUGCCCAGGACUAGGCAGGAGACUUCAGGCUUGGUCACCCCCAGAGCAAGGUGGAAGCCCAGCAGUUUAUUGGUUGGUUUGGCUUUUGGUGACAACAAGGUCCUCCUUUGGGACCAAUCCUUGGCCUGGGCCAUAAAGUCCCAGGGCAGAAGUGUGAGUUUGAUUGGGAGAUGAGCAGCAGGGAGGGUUGGAAACAGCUCAGGGAGCAAUUCAACAGGCUCCAGACCUGUGGCCAAUACGAGCCAGAGAGGGGGAACUGAAGGUUCCUGCCAGUGAUAAUGAUGCCAAUUGGAGCCUCUGGCAGAAGUAGGGUCGUGUAAGGGGGGUACUUUUGAAUUAGAUGAUCAAUGGAGCGUAGAGGCAUGAGAAAGAAAUCAUAUUAGGAUGUGAAACCAGCUGGAGUGUGGUACAAUGUAACUUGAUGGCACAAGCUAAUUGUAAGGUCCAUUGUGCUUUUCAGCAAGUCAGCCUGAUAUCCCCUGUUAUCAGAGCUGAGUUCUUCCUUGUUCUGCUACAUCUUGCAAGGUAGGUACAUCUACCCUUGAAACACAGUGGGAGAGGUCAUACCUAGGGGUGAGAAAGAUGAUGGUGAGAGGAAGAUGAUGUGGGCAGGGGUGGCUGGCCCCUUGCCCUACAAGUAGGGCAGGCCCAGACUGUUGCCACCAGGCAAUGAUCAGGCGGGGUUUGGCUGCCAUUCAGGCCUCCCCUUACACUGCGUCCUGGCCCUACGUGGUGUAAUGUGGAGCUGAUCAAAUGGGCUGUCAGGACUGCUGAGCUGAGCGAUCCUCAUCCUGCCACCGAGCCUGUGUUGCUCCGCGGGGACGCCCGCUAAGGGAUGGGCACCGACCAGCUGCUGCAGAUCCUGACAGCCCUGCCUGGCUGGGGGGGUGGGCACAGGUUAGUGAUAGGAGGCAG